CUGGUUUUCAAACUGUAAGAUCGGUGGCAAUUUAAUCCACAAACUUUAAUUAGUUAUAAUUUUUGGCUCGAACUUUCAGAAUUAUCGUAAGCAAGUUCUACAACCCAAAUUAGUCGACUAAAUAUUAAUUAUAUAUUGGUAAUUAAGAGCGAUGUAAUAGUAUUGUGAUUGACGAUACGCCAAUAUAUAAUAUGGCGUAUCACUUUUGCGUUAGUCAACUACCAACCAACUGCAGUAAACAGUGGGGUUCAUUUUUCUCCUAUUCUUUUCCAAUCAUUUUAAUCAAUAUUGUAUGAUGUUAAAAUUGAU
rnacentral:lncRNA from 1 species